rnacentral:rRNA from 1 species
GUGCGCAGGCGGUUCGCUAAGACCGAUGUGAAAUCCCCGGGCUUAACCUGGGAACUGCAUUGGUGACUGGCGGGCUAGAGUAUGGCAGAGGGGGGUAGAAUUCCACGUGUAGCAGUGAAAUGCGUAGAGAUGUGGAGGAAUACCGAUGGCGAAGGCAGCCCCCUGGGCCAAUACUGACGCUCAUGCACGAAAGCGUGGGGAGCAAACAGGAUUAGAUACCCUGGUAGUCCACGCCCUAAACGAUGUCAACUAGUUGUCGGGUCUUCAUUGACUUGGUAACGAAGCUAACGCGUGAAGUUGACCGCCUGGGGAGUACGGUCGCAAGAUUAAAACUCAAAGGAAUUGACGGGGACCCGCACAAGCGGUGGAUGAUGUGGAUUAAUUCGAUGCAACGCGAAAAACCUUACCUACCCUUGACAUGUACGGAACCCUGCCGAGAGGUGGGGGUGCCCGAAAGGGAGCCGUAACACAGGUGCUGCAUGGCUGUCGUCAGCUCUUGUCGUGAGAUGUUGGGUUAAGUCCCGCAACGAGCGCAACCCUUGUCCCUAGUU